UACGGAGGGUGCAAGCGUUGUUCGGAAUUACUGGGCGUAAAGCGCGCGCAGGCGGGUUCGUAAGCCAAUUGUGAAAGCCCGGGGCUCAACCUCGGAGUUGCAGUUGGAACUGCGAAUCUUGAAUACCUGAGAGGAUGAGGGAAUUCCUGGAGUAGAAGUGAAAUUCGUAGAUAUCAGGAGGAACACCCGAGGCGAAGGCGCUCAUCUGGCAGUGUAUUGACGCUGAGGCGCGAAAGCGUGGGUAGCAAACAGG
rnacentral:misc_RNA from 1 species